rnacentral:rRNA from 1 species
GAUGAACGCUAGCGACAGGCUUAACACAUGCAAGUCGAGGGGCAGCACGAUGUAGCAAUACAUUGGUGGCGACCGGCGCACGGGUGAGUAACGCGUAUGCAACCUACCUAUCAGAGGGGAAUAACCCGGCGAAAGUCGGACUAAUACCGCAUAAAACAGGGGUUCCACAUGGAAAUAUUUGUUAAAGAAUUAUCGCUGAUAGAUGGGCAUGCGUUCCAUUAGAUAGUUGGUGAGGUAACGGCUCACCAAGUCCACGAUGGAUAGGGGUUCUGAGAGGAAGGUCCCCCACACUGGUACUGAGACACGGACCAGACUCCUACGGGAGGCAGCAGUGAGGAAUAUUGGUCAAUGGGCGAGAGCCUGAACCAGCCAAGUCGCGUGAAGGAUGAAGGAUCUAUGGUUUGUAAACUUCUUUUAUAUGGGAAUAAAGUGAGGAACGUGUUCCUUUUUGUAUGUACCAUAUGAAUAAGCAUCGGCUAACUCCGUGCCAGCAGCCGCGGUAAUACGGAGGAUGCGAGCGUUAUCCGGAUUUAUUGGGUUUAAAGGGUGCGUAGGUGGUUAAUUAAGUCAGCGGUGAAAGUUUGUGGCUCAACCAUAAAAUUGCCGUUGAAACUGGUUGACUUGAGUAUAUUUGAGGUAGGCGGAAUGCGUGGUGUAGCGGUGAAAUGCAUAGAUAUCACGCAGAACUCCGAUUGCGAAGGCAGCUUACUAAACUAUAACUG